CCAUAGGAACUGCGGUAAGACCGAUAUCCCUUUAUUUACAGAAGAGCGCUCUUUAAAGAACAAAAACAUUGUUAAACUAAAGUCCCAAAAAAACAGAGAGAAAAGAGAAGACAAAGUAGAAGAGAGAUGCGGAAAAUACCAGUGAGGAUGAAGGCAGUGAUAUACAGCUUGUCACCAUUUCAGCAGCAGGUGAUGUCUGGUCUCUGGAAGGAUCUACCACACAAACUCACAAAGAAAGUCUCCGAAAACUGGAUCAGCGCUAGUCUUCUUAUUGGCCCUCUUCUUGGAACACACUUGUAUGUCCAGAACUACCUAGAGCGGGAAAAGCAACACCACAGGUUCUGAAGUGAAGAAUUAAUGGCUUGGGGCUAUCUGCUUCAAUCUGUUUUGGAAGUAGCUUAGACCUCAGUUUUUUCUCCUUAGGCGGUUGUUAAAUUGUGUUUUUUUUUCUAUUCUGAUGGAAAAUUUCCCAAUUUUUCAAUGUUAUAUUGAGAGACACUUCAGAUGUUUUAUGCUACAUUUUGACCUUGUAAUAAUGUUGUGGGUCUGUUUGCACAUUCGUAUCUGAAAAAUUCUGCAGAUUCCAGAAUCCAAGGGCAACACCAGUGAUCAUA